rnacentral:rRNA from 1 species
ACAGAGGUGCCGAGCGUUAGGCGGAAUCACUGGGCUUAAAGCGUGUGUAGGCGGAUCGUUAAGUACCUUGUGAAAUCCCACGGCUUAACCGUGGAACUGCUGGGUAUACUGGCGAUCUUGAGGUGCUCAGGGGCGAGCGGAACAAAUGGUGGAGCGGUGAAAUGCGUAGAUAUCAUUUGGAACGCCAAUGGUGAAAACAGGUUGCUGGGGGUGUGCUGACGCUGAGACACGAAAGCCAGGGGAGCGAACGGGA